rnacentral:rRNA from 1 species
CAGUCGCCGCGGUAAUACAGAGGGUGCGAGCGUUAAUCGGAUUUACUGGGCGUAAAGCGUGCGUAGGCGGCUUCUUAAGUCGGAUGUGAAAUCCCUGAGCUUAACUUAGGAAUUGCAUUCGAUACUGGGAAGCUAGAGUAUGGGAGAGGAUGGUAGAAUUCCAGGUGUAGCGGUGAAAUGCGUAGAGAUCUGGAGGAAUACCAAUGGCGAAGGCAGCCAUCUGGCCUAAUACUGACGCUGAGGUACGAAAGCAUGGGGAGCAAACAGGAUUAGAGACCCGUGUAGUCCCUGUCUCUUAUAC